GUUAGGAGGGCCCCACUGACAGGAGCUAGGGGCAAGAUUUUUAUAUAGAAGAUGUGGAAGCAAAGCAAACAAAUUAUUUUAUUGAUUACAGCUUAAGCAGUCACCUUAUUUGAGAAAGCCUAGUUGGCUGGGAUUGGUUGUUCUUAAUUUUCACUUUCUUGGAUUUGAGACAUUGACUCUGGCUUGUGUUUCUGUUCGGCUAUGUAGGCUAGCAAUGCAUUAGAGCCUCCUGAGUCUAAGGCCCUCCUUGUUUAAUUAUAACUUUAACACUAUCUUUGGCUCCCCGUAAGGUUGGAGGAGAAAGUCCUCAGAAUUUUUAGAGGCUCUAUUAUUUAAAGAAGAGGAUCAGUGUUUAGAGGGACUGUUGUCUGUUUGAAGUACCAUAACAAGUAUUUCUGUGGUCAUAACAGAGGGUGGUAUAGUCGAACUCUUACUGUCUUCUUUAGACUAUAUUUUCCUGACAAUGCCUUAAAUUUGAUCUCAGCUCAGAAAAUAUUUUUAACUUUUUAGAAUCUUUUGCUAACUGUAGACUGUGUGGAUGACAAAUGGCUUUAUUGUCAAACCCUGAAAGUUCUGGGCCCCUUAUGCUAAAAAAAAAAAAUUGUUUUCUUUAUCCUUUCUCUCUUCUUUCAUGUUUUACUAUGAGCAACCAGGAAAAGCCAGAUGACACUUUAACACUCUGUCUGGAAUGUUCUUAAGUAGAUCAUCAGGUUCAUUUUUCCUAUUUUUCAUGUUAACAAAGGUGACGGGAUCGUUAAAGUUUCCAUCUUCCAAUAACAUUUUUCUCACCUUCCUUUCAUCUCCCACCAACAUCCUCCUAAAAUGCCACCAAGCUUCCACCAACAGACUCUGAGGCUUUUUAGGCUCUCACUUACACUCUCCUCGAUGUCCUUCCAGUUUCUCCCACCACCUGGGCCUAAGCCAUUCUCACCUGCUCUAAGAGUUUUACUAUACCAGGAGUAGCACCACUGCUGGUACCCAAAUCUGUUCCAGGUUACUGAUCCACUUUUGGGUUUGUUUGGUUUUUGCUGUGUAUGGUGUGAUGUAGAAGUCCCACUUCAUUCUUUGGCUUGGAGAAACCAUUUGUCCCAGCACCAUUUGCUGAAGAGACUGUAUUUCCCCACUGAAUGGAUUUGACACUGAGUUUCUUCUUUUUUCAGUAUUGUUUGUGUUCUCUGGGGCUCCUUGUAAUUCAUAUGAAUUUGAGGAUUGGCUUUUCUGCAAAACAGGCUACUGGAAUUUUAAUAGAGAUUCCAUUGAAUUGGUAGGUCACUUUGGUUAGCAUUGCCAUUUAACAAUAUUAUGUCUGCCAAUCCAGGAACGUGAAAUGUCUUUUCACGUAUUCAGGUAUUCUUUCAUUUCUUUCAGCAAUGUUUUGUAGUUUUCAUUAUACAAUACUUUCACUUCUUUGAGUAAAUUUAUUCUCAGGUAUUAUAUUCAUUUGGAUGCUAUUAUAAAUGAAAUUGUGUUCUUAACUUCCUUUUCAGAGGGUUAGUUUCUGAUGUAUGGAAGCAAAAAUAAUAUUUGUGUGUGAUGUUGAACCCUGCAACUUUGCUGAAUUUGUUUAUUAACUAUAGUAGUUUUGUUUUCUUUUUUGGUUGAUUCUUUGGGAUUUUCUACAUUUAGGAUCCAGUCAUCUGGGAAGAGAUGGUUUUACUUCUUACUUUAAAUUUGGAUGCCUUUUAUUUCUUUUUCUUGGUAAUUGUUUUGGUUUUAUAUCUUCCAGCACAAGGUUGACUAGCAGUGGUGAGAGGAGGCACCUUGUUCUGUUCCUGACCUUAGGGGAAAACAUUUCAGUCUUUCACCGUUGAGUGACGUCACCUGUGAGGUUAGAAUGUGCUUCUCUUACACUGUAGAACUGUUACCUGAGUUUGUUUAAAAUAACGGAUUGGAGCUACCAUGUUAGUAUUGCAAGAAAAUGUCUCUGUACUAUGUUGGCCUCUAAAAAAAGGAACAACCAUUUCACAGGUGAAGAGGCUUAACUUACUUUCCUGAAGAUAAAAAUCUCUUCAAAUCACUGGUCCAACAUAAUCUUGAAAAUACUCUCUGCUAGAACCUAGAGGAUUUGCAUAGACAUAAGUUCUGAAAGCUGGAAGUCUGAGAUCAAGGUGCCAGCAUGGCUGGGUUCUGACAAGAACCAUCUUCCUGGCUUGUGCAUGGCUGCCUUCUCACUGUGUGCUCACAUGGACUCUCCCCCGUGGGUGUCUGGAGAGACAGAGAGAGAGCAAACUCUCCGAUGUCUCUUCUUGCGUGGACACUAAUUGCAUCAGAUCAGAGCUCCACCCAUACAACCUCGCUGAACCUUAAUCACCUCCGUAAAAGCCCUCUCUCUAAUAUAGUCAGAUGAGGGAGAGGUCAGAGCUUCAACAUAGGAAUUUUCUAGGCAGACAAUUCAGUCCAUAGCAAGUAAUCGUCCUACUAUGCGUCACGGAAAGACUGAGAUCACUGAGAAAUCAUCCUGGGUGUCCCUUUGGAGCAGUUCCAUAAUUAGUGACCCCAUUCUAUUACUUCAACAAAUAGUUUCUAUUCCAGGUACUGUUUAGGGGCCAAGUAUAAAUCAUGAACAAAGGAGAACUAACUGUUGCUCUCUUAUAUUUGGUAUGAUACAUACUUAUAAAGAAAAAUUUCCUGAUACGAAAAGAUUGUAGAAUGAGGAAAGUCUUCUCUGAGAAUAUUUAAGUUGAGACUUAGGAUGGAUGGAAAGAUGCUCACAAUGCCUGCUGGACAUCUCAGCAAAUCAGAGGACCAACAAGUUUCUGAGCCAGAGCUUGUGGCUGUGCAGUCUGCAGGAGGGCAACCAGGAGCAGGAGAAGGUGGAGCCGUGCUGGCAGGCAGUCUUCCAACUGCAUGUCGACCUGGAGCUGCCGGCAAGUGUUUGUUUACUGGUGUCUGCUAUGCUCCUGGAGCCCCCUUGCAUGGCAGUCAGGAAUUUUUGGAGGACGCACACACUCAAUCUACAGCAGCUAUCUGUUUGAAACUUCAUCUAACCUAUAUAGGAAAGAAAUACUGAAUUUGAUACAGUUUAGAUUUCCUUAUUUUGGAGAAUGACUUCAUAAUCUUAGAGUAAAUGAUAAACAUCAAACUUUCAGCUGUUGAAGCCAUAUAAUCGUGUGAAAAAAAACUGAAGAAGUGCCAGAGCCUUAUAGCGUUUGCCCAUGGCCCUGAAAUAAAGCAGUUAUAAAAAUAUAUAUAUAGGGGCUGGCCCCGUGGCCGAGUGGUUAAGUUCGCGUGCUCCGCUGCAGGCGGCCCAGUGUUUCGUUGGUUCGAAUCCUGGGCGCGGACAUGGCACUGCUCAUCAGACCACGCUGAGGCAGCGUCCCACAUGCCACAACUAAAAGGACCCACAACGAAGAAUAUACAACUAUGUACUGGGGGGCUUUGGGGAGAAAAAGGAAAAAAAAAUAAAAUAUUAAAAAAAUAUAUAUAUAUAUACAAAA
ensembl:lncRNA